CGGAGCGUAGCGCAGCCCGGUAGCGCAUCUGGUUUGGGACCAGAGGGUCGGAGGUUCGAAUCCUCUCGCUCCGACUA
rnacentral:tRNA from 1 species